CCCGGGCCUUGUACACACCGCCCGUCACACCACGAAAGUUGGCAAUACCCGAACGCCGGUGGGCUAACCCGCAAGGAGGCCAGCCGUCGAAGGUAGGGUUGAUGAUUGGGUCG
rnacentral:rRNA from 1 species